GCGGCAUGGGGAUGGUGCAACUUGUCAAUUACUCUCGCCUUUUACUAGAGUAAUCCGUGUUCCGUCCCUGCCCUACUUGCCGCAUGUCAAUUUUUCAGCUCUCAGCUCGAUCCUGAGUU
rfam:Sistotremastrum suecicum HHB10207 ss-3 unplaced genomic scaffold SISSTscaffold_86, whole genome shotgun sequence.